AUUUCUUCCCGGCCUUUCGGCUAAGAUCAACUGUAGUGUCUGCUUUUAUCAGAUUAAUAUCUGAUAUGUCCUCUAUCUGAGGACAAUGUAUUAAUGGAUUUUUGGAGCCAGGAGAUGGAGUAGCAGCUUGCUGUAUCCACUCCACACACUGACAUGGUGUUACAGUACUCCAGAAGUGGUACACCCCCU
rnacentral:snRNA from 1 species